GCCAGGCGCAGAGGAGUGCUCCUGUAAUCCUAGUGAGUUGGGAGGCUGAGGCAGGAGGAUUGCAAGUUCAAGGCCAGCCUUGGCAACUUAUUGAUGACCUAAGUUACUUAGUGAGAUCUUGUCUCAA
rnacentral:sRNA from 1 species